rnacentral:rRNA from 1 species
UACGUAGGUGGCAAGCGUUUGUUCGGAAUUAUUGGGCGUAAAGGGCGCGUAGGCGGCUCGGCACGUCCGUUGUGAAAUCGCCCGGCUCAACUGGGCGGGGUCGGCGGAUACGGCCGAGCUGGAGCAAGCUAGGGGGUAAUGGAAUUCCCGGUGUAGUGGUGGAAUGCGUAGAUAUCGGGAGGAACACCAGUGGCGAAGGCGGUUACCUGGAGCUUUGCUGACGCUGAUGCGCGAAAGCGUGGGGAGCGAGUCGG